GGGAAUGUGGCUUAGUGGUAGAGUACUUGCCUAGCAUGCAAGCCCUAGGUUCGACUCCUUAGUACCA
rfam:Dipodomys ordii contig_54164, whole genome shotgun sequence.